CAUGCCGAUUUGAUUUGCGCUGGCUUUUGUAGGAACGGAACUGCGGUGUAAACCGAGGGCUACCUGUACAAAAGAAAAUGAAGUUUACAUAGAGGGUUACCACAAGAUCACUUGAAAAAAGAAUAGCAGAACAUAAAAGAGACAUAAGUAGAAGAAAGACAGCAAUGGCCCUCACUAUAAGAGCAUUAGAGCAUAAUGUACAAAUUGAUUGGGAAGAAACAAGAAUACUGAGAACCUUGGAAAUGGAUGAACACGCACCCCUAGCAGAAGCUGUUGAGAUAGACGCGAAUGACAGUAGAAAGAAUUUGGUGAACAUUAAUCAACUGACCCUUGUCAGUGGCAUGGAAAUACCUAUUGACCAAGCAUAUGUAGCCUGUAAUAUUUUUGCAUAAUAUUUUAGUAUUGCAUAAUGUAAUAUUUUUGUAUGCCACAGCAUGCAUGAGAUGUAAUUUGGACUUUGAUUGCUUUUUUAAGUUUAGUUAUAGUGUAAAAUAAUUUGUUUUAUAUUUUGCUUUUGUUUUAUCCAAUAACUGUGGUUCCCAUAGUAACGUGCAGUAUUUCUAGAACUUUAUGUUC
rnacentral:lncRNA from 1 species